UGAACAUACUGUCUUUGGUCUGAUCUAUGAUGACCCUAUCCCGAACCUGAAUUCCUGUUGAAAUACAAAAUUACGGAUCUGGCUUCUGAGACGGACCAUUAAAAAGGCAUUGUUGUGGGGUUUUUUGUUUUCAUUUUUGUGUUGGUAGUUUUGUAAUCCCUGUGUUUGUUUUCUAGGGCCAGUGACACAAGUGAGAAUUGGAUGUUAUGACCGUCCAGAAAAGACAAGAUGAGAAAGUGCAGUAUUGACUGUCUUCAAACGCACCUGUCCUUGCUCAAGUGCUGGGAUUGUGUGCCAACGGCUAUGAUAGAUAUGAAUAGAGCACGAGAUAAUGUGCUUACAGAAAGUUGGUUGAAUUGAAUGCAAUUAAUGUUUGGAGGCACUUAGUCUUCUAGUGUUUGAAUGUGGAUGGAAUUAAAGCUGGGUUUGUAGUGAGCCAUUAGGAUUAUGGCAAAUGUCUAGUGUACAGAAUUCAGUGUAGGCCGGGAGUUGAGACUGGUGUGUGUUUAGUGGAUUAUCUGAUCAGCACAUGUGUGACAGUGUUGAUCACAAGUCAUUGCCAGCUCUGUUCAUUUUCUUCCCUGGUCUAACUCAAUAAUUGCCAUCAUGAAAAUUCUGGGUGACUUUUGUGACUAAAGUCCCAUUGUAAGCCACAUUCUUUGUCCAGCAGUGCUCACUGACUGCUGAAAUAAAUGUUCAUUUGCAAC
rfam:Cricetulus griseus cell line CHO-K1, whole genome shotgun sequence.